UACGGAGGGUGCAAGCGUUAUCCGGAUUCACUGGGUUUAAAGGGUGCGUAGGAGGGCAGGUAAGUCAGUGGUGAAAUCUUCGAGCUUAACUCGGAAACUGCCGUUGAUACUAUCUGUCUUGAAUACCGUGGAGAUGAGCGGAAUAUGUCAUGUAGCGGAUGAAAUGCUUAGAUAUGACAUAGAACACCAAUUGCGAAGGCAGCUCGUUACACGAAUAUUGACUCUGCGGCACGAAAGCGUGGGGAUCAAACAGG
rnacentral:rRNA from 1 species